GACGGAGGAUGCAAGUGUUAUCCGGAAUCACUGGGCGUAAAGCGUCUGUAGGUGGUUUAAUAAGUCAACUGCUAAAUCUUGAGGCUCAACCUCAAAAUCGCAGUCGAAACUAUUAGGCUAGAGUAUAGUAGGGGUAAAGGGAAUUUCCAGUGGAGCGGUGAAAUGCGUAGAGAUUGGAAAGAACACCGAUGGCGAAGGCACUUUACUGGGCUAUUACUAACACUCAGAGACGAAAGCUAGGGUAGCAAAUGGG
rnacentral:rRNA from 1 species